rnacentral:misc_RNA from 1 species
AACAUCGCGCACCUGCGGGAACCUGCGGACGGAUCAUUACAGAGUUGCAAAACUCCCUAAACCAUUGUGAACGUUACCUAAACCGUUGCUUCGGCGGGCGGCCCGGGUCCUUCCCGGCGCCCAUCGGCCCUCGCGGGCGCCCGCCGGAGGUAAACCAAACUAUUGCAUUGUAUGGCCUCUCUGAGUCUUCUGUACUGAAUAAGUCAAAACUUUCAACAAUGGAUCUCAGAUCGGAAGAGC